UACGAAGGGGGCUAGCGUUGCUCGGAAUCACUGGGCGUAAAGCGCACGUAGGCGGCUUUCUAAGUCAGGGGUGAAAUCCUGGAGCUCAACUCCAGAACUGCCUUUGAUACUGGAGAGCUUGAGUCCGGAAGAGGUGAGUGGAACUCCGAGUGUAGAGGUGAAAUUCGUAGAUAUUCGGAAGAACACCAGUGGCGAAGGCGGCUCACUGGUCCGGUACUGACGCUGAGGUGCGAAAGCGUGGGAGCAA
rnacentral:rRNA from 1 species